UGAUACCCUUUUGGCAAUUUUGAUGGGCUAUCAUUUCGUAGAGCAUUGGGAUGAGGGCAAUCAAAUCCAUCUUGUGGAUAAAUGGUUUUGAUAAUCUCCUUUAAUGGUGGCCAUAUGAUCAUGGCAUGGUAAGUGUCAUAAUAAGAUGAAAAAUAUCAGCAGAACAUGUUAUAAUACUUGAUAAGCUUGUCUUCUUGCUCAAUUUACUUCUAUGCACUGGUAUUAUAUUUGUUGUGCUUGUAUAAUAAUUUGCAUUAUACUUGUUGGUGUAUGAUGUCCUGUAUUCUGUCUCAAUUUUUGCUAUAUAUUUGUAGCGAGAUUCUCUUUCUCUGUAAGCAAUCAAAGAGAGGUGUGAGGACAACCAUUGAGGUUUUUUGGUCGGACGCCUCAUAUAGGAAUCUUGUGAGGGGUAUUUUUUGGACCGUUGGAUUUAAAUUUCAUUGUCCUAAAGUGUUGAUUUGGAAUAAGUAGUAUGUAUUAUAAUACACAUGAAUAUUUUGCAAGAUUGUCUAAGAAACAUUUUUUUUGUUUGGUAUAAGUGUUUAGGGAAACCUAAGAUUUACGUGUUAGAGAAACGAAAGAGGGAAGAGGAGAGUUUACCCCUGCAACGCCCCUACCCACCGAUCUUGCCUGAGAACGAUCAAGCAUCAGAGUUCUUUCUGCGCUGACAGGUUUGUGAUCUCAGAAUACAAACAGGAGCUUUUGCUGGUGAGGUUUGAACAGGGAUUUACAGUAGUCGGCGAGGAUUUUCUGCAACAAGUUUGAGUAAAUCUUCGAAAACCACAUCCCGUGUGGAGCAUCUUCGUUGGGCAUUACAAUAGAAGAGUUUUUGGAAAAUUGGAGAAACGAAGGAGGGAAGAGGAGAUUUUGCCACUGCAACGUCCCAACCCACCGAUCUUGCCGGAGAACGAUCAAGCAUCGGACUUGUUUUUGCUGCGACAGUGUUUUAGGGGACAAACAAAUGACACCUGAUGCUGAAAUAUCAGAUACUAUUGUCGAUGGACUUAUAGUAGAGAAUAUUAUACCAUAUAGGGAGUUAGAGGAUGUGUAUGCUAGGGAAGGUCCCACGGAUUUGGAGGAAGUCAUUCGAUUAGAUGUAGAAGCUAUUGAAAAUGAAUUAAAUAGCAGUGGUGUGGUAGUCGAUGAUAAAAAUGGGGGGACCAAUGAAGCUAUAGAAGAUUGUGUUUUUGCGUAUGAACCAAGUGAGCAUGUUGAUGGGGGUGAAAGUUUUCACUCAUCGAGAGACAAAUGUUUAGGCCUCCCAUUCUAUUGUUGACUCAGAAGAUUGUCUUGAGUUUAUCAGUUUUGUCAUUAAUCACAAAUAAGGGUUUUGAACUUUUUGGGAGAAAACAAAUGGUGAUCUUUGCAAAAUGAUCCCAUAUGUGAUUUUUUUCAGAACAAUUUGGAGAGCCGUUGCCAUUGGAUCCGUUGGAACCUUACCCAGGUUUAAACCAGUCUCUUUUCAUUUGUUUUGUUAUUCUUUUUGUGUGAACGAUCGAAGGGUGUGUUACUGGUCAAGAACUGGGAAGUGGGAAGAAGAAAUUUCCUCAAAUCUUGAAUUUUUUUGUUUUCACCCAAUUUUUAUCAUUCACAAGGCUUUAAUAGUGUAUAAGCAUUUAUUGAUGACACAACUUCAACCACGAAAUCACGUAACCUGUGUAUGAGGAGAAAGAGGCAUU